rnacentral:rRNA from 1 species
CGAGCGGAACGAUGGGAGCUUGCUCCCAGGCGUCGAGCGGCGGACGGGUGAGUAACACUUAGGAAUCUACCUAGUAGUGGGGGAUAGCUCGGGGAAACUCGAAUUAAUACCGCAUACGACCUACGGGAGAAAGGGGGCAGUUUACUGCUCUCGCUAUUAGAUGAGCCUAAGUCGGAUUAGCUAGAUGGUGGGGUAAAGGCCUACCAUGGCGACGAUCUGUAGCUGGUCUGAGAGGAUGAUCAGCCACACCGGGACUGAGACACGGCCCGGACUCCUACGGGAGGCAGCAGUGGGGAAUAUUGGACAAUGGGGGAAACCCUGAUCCAGCCAUGCCGCGUGUGUGAAGAAGGCCUUUUGGUUGUAAAGCACUUUAAGCAGUGAAGAAGACCUAACGGUUAAUACCCGUUAGCGAUGACAUUAGCUGCAGAAUAAGCACCGGCUAACUCUGUGCCAGCAGCCGCGGUAAUACAGAGGGUGCAAGCGUUAAUCGGAAUUACUGGGCGUAAAGCGAGCGUAGGUGGCUUGAUAAGUCAGAUGUGAAAUCCCCGGGCUUAACCUGGGAACUGCAUCUGAUACUGUUAAGCUAGAGUAGGUGAGAGGGAAGUAGAAUUCCAGGUGUAGCGGUGAAAUGCGUAGAGAUCUGGAGGAAUACCGAUGGCGAAGGCAGCUUCCUGGCAUCAUACUGACACUGAGGCUCGAAAGCGUGGGUAGCAAACAAGAUUAGAUACCCUGGUAGUCC